AAUGAACGCUGGCGGCAUGCCUUACACAUGCAAGUCGAACGGCAGCACGGAGCUUGCUCUGGUGGCGAGUGGCGAACGGGUGAGUAAUAUAUCGGAACUUACCCAAGAGUGGGGGAUAACGUAGCGAAAGUUACGCUAAUACCGCAUACGAUCUAAGGACGAAAGCCGGGGAUCGCAAGACAUUGUGCUCCUGGAGCGGCCGAUAUCUGAUUAGCUAGUUGGUGAGGUAAAGGCUCACCAAGGCAUCGAUAAGUAGCUGGUCUGAGAGGACGACCAGCCACACUGGAACUGAGACACGGUCCAGACUCAUACGGGAGGCAGCAGUGGGGAAUUUUGGACAAUGGGGGCAACCCUGAUCCAGCAAUGCCGCGUGAGUGAAGAAGGCCUUCGGGUUGUAAAGCUCUUUUGUCAGGGAAGAAACGGUCGUGGCUAAUAUCCAUGGCUAAUGACGGUACCUGAAGAAUAAGCACCGGCUAACUACGUGCCAGCAGCCGCGGUAA
rnacentral:rRNA from 1 species